CCACAGUGAGCUCAGGAGUGACACAAGU
rnacentral:piRNA from 1 species